AUCGCUUCUCGGCCUUUUGGCUAAGAUCAAGUGUAAAGAUUUGCUAUUCAUUUUCAAAAUAAUACUGCUUUUGAAAGAAAAAUGAAGGAAUCAUAUCUAUUUAUAAUUGCACCAAAAAUAAGAAGAUACCUAGG
rnacentral:snRNA from 1 species